rnacentral:lncRNA from 1 species
UUUGUACGGAACAAAUUUAAAAGUACUAGUUUUUAGACUUUUUAAUUUAAAAAAAGAAUAACUUAGUAGUUAUUAUCAAAUAUUUAAACAACAAAAGUUUUUCAAAUUCAAACAUUUAACUCUAUUUACUAUUCAGACUAAUUUAAAUCCAUUCAGGUUUCAAAUAAAAAAAAAAAACUACACCACCUUAAUUUGGUUAGAAUGAACUUCACAUUUUUUUUUCCCUAAUUGCUUGUUAGAAUACACAUAAUCUCACAUUUACAUAUGUUGUAAGUUUUCUUAGGGUCGAAAUCAAUGCAAAAAUGACACAUUAGUGAAAAUGUGUAGUCAAACAUUGAUGUCACAAUGACUUUGGAAGGAUAAGGUGAUAUUUAAUAGUACGUGGCACGCCAUAUUAUAUGGGAUUGUUUUAGUUAAUGUAAUGCAGUCCCAUAUUUAGUAAAUCUUUCUAUUCACAUAAUACGAACACUGCCAUAUUAAAGAAAGACGAAGGGGUUGAGUUUGUGUAAUACGACAUUGUUCACUUUAAUUUUUUAAUUCUUUAAUUAAAUUAAUAGAAGUUAAAUAAAAAUAUAUAAUAUUAAUUAAAAUUAAAAACUUAAAUAUGCUACCGCUGGUGUUAAUAAACUGCCAACAACAAUUUGAGGGGAGCCCAAGGCCGCCACAUAAUAUUAGUUUUGCACUAAAAUAUGGUACUAUUAGAAUUCUUAUUUCCGUUUGCUAUUAAUUUAUGAUAAAAAUUUGAAAACUAAAAUUUUGACUGUUGAUCUGAAGUGAAUGAAAAUUCCUUUGUUAAUAAGAGUUGCACCAACAUAUAGUCCCGAUAAUACAAAUUUUGAUUCUACCAACAUAUAGUCCAAAUGAUACUAUACGACGGCAAGCUGUGGAUUGGAAUGGCCAAUAGUGAAAAUUAUUUUUUUAAUUAUUAAUUGAAUAUAAAUAGUAA